rnacentral:lncRNA from 1 species
UUCAGUUUCAUCGUCUGUAGAUGAGGGUGUUAAAGAUUCAGAAGGCUCUUCUAUCAGUUGUGUAUUGGUGGGUUUGCUCUCUAGGUAUUCAUCGCUUUCCAUGUUUUCAGUUUCAUCAUCUGUAGAUGAGGGUGUUAAAGAUUCAGAAGGCUCUUCUAUCACUUGUGCAUUGGUGGGUUUGCUCUCUAGGUAUUCAUCGCUGUCCAUGUUUUCAGUUUCAUCGUCUGUAGAUGAGGGUGUUAAAGAUUCAGAAGGCUCUUCUAUCAGUUGUGUAUUGGUGGGUUUGCUCUCUAGGUAUUCAUCGCUUUCCAUGUUUUCAGUUUCAUCAUCUGUAGAUGAGGGUGUUAAAGAUUCAGAAGGCUCUUCUAUCACUUGUGCAUUGGUGGGUUUGCUCUCUAGGUAUUCAUCGCUUUCCAUGUUUUCAGUUUCAUCGUCUGUAGAUGAGGGUGUUAAAGAACCAUCAGAAUUUUGUUGAUCUUUAUCAGAAUCGAACUUUGGC